rnacentral:rRNA from 1 species
GGAUUGACAGACUGAGAGCUCUUUCUCGAUUCGGUGGGUGGUGGUGCAUGGCCGUUCUUAGUUGGUGGAGCGAUCUGUCUGGUUAAUUCCGAUAACGAACGAGACCCCAACCUGCUAACUAGCCCUCGGGUCUGGCUUCUGGCGGGCCCGACGGAAUGAUUCGCUUCUUAGAGGGACUCGCGGCGCCUAGCCGCACGAAGGGGGGCGAUAACAGGUCUGUGAUGCCCUUAGAUGUUCGGGGCUGCACGCGCGCUACACUGAAGGCAUCAGCGUGCGCUUUGUCCGUUCCCUGCCUGAAAAGGCUGGGUAACCCGCUGAACCGCCUUCGUGCCUGGGAUAGGGAUUUGCAAUUAUCUCCCUUGAACGAGGAAUUCCCAGUAGGCGCGAGUCAUCAGCUCGCGUCGAUUACGUCCCUGCCCCUUUGUAA